GCCGGCUUAGCUCAGUUGGUAGAGCAUCUGAUUUGUAAUCAGAGGGUCGCGUGUUCAAUUCAUGUAGCCGGCA
rnacentral:tRNA from 2 species